UUGAAGGCAAUGAUGCUUACAACUACCUAUUUUAUGAAGGAAUAAAAAUUCCUUUGUGAUUACAAAAUUACCAAUGGAUCCUUCUGAGCCUUCA